UUGGACGCUGGCGGCAGGCCUAACACAUGCAAGUCGCACGGUAACAGGAAACAGCUUGCUGUUUCGCUGACGAGUGGCGGACGGGUGAGUAAUGUCUGGGAAACUGCCUGAUGGAGGGGGAUAACUACUGGAAACGGUAGCUAAUACCGCAUAACGUCGCAAGACCAAAGAGGGGGACCUUCGGGCCUCUUGCCAUCGGAUGUGCCCAGAUGGGAUUAGCUAGUAGGUGGGGUAACGGCUCACCUAGGCGACGAUCCCUAGCUGGUCUGAGAGGAUGACCAGCCACACUGGAACUGAGACACGGUCCAGACUCCUACGGGAGGCAGCAGUGGGGAAUAUUGCACAAUGGGCGCAAGCCUGAUGCAGCCAUGCCGCGUGUAUGAAGAAGGCCUUCGGGUUGUAAAGUACUUUCAGCGGGGAGGAAGGGAGUAAAGUUAAUACCUUUACUCAUUGACGUUACCCGCAGAAGAAGCACCGGCUAACUCCGUG
rnacentral:rRNA from 1 species